UGUAUUUAAUAUAGGUUUCAAAAUUCAACUAGGAUUUUAUUUAAAAGAUGAAUGAUUGUUAACCCGGUUCGGCCGAUUGACGACUCCGGAGAAAAACCUAAUCAUGUAAAAAUGUAUAAAAAAAAAAUUGAAGGAUUGUUAACCCUAAAGUCCAGGAGGGAGUGCCUUGUAUCUCACGUAUUACUCUCGUCUUCCUGCGAGACUUCAUUGCCCAAGAAGAAUUGAUUCAGCCACUACCACCGGAAGGGUUAUCUCUUGUAGAUCCGACCACCGCCUUGAGGAGUCACUGCGAUGGGGCGCAAGCGCAAGCUGCAGGCAUCUACAAUUUGUCAAGCUGAAGGGACUUCCUCUGAAAGUGGAAUAGACAGAUUUAGUAAUCUUCCGGAGGAAGUUGCUCAUCAUGUUCUUUCCUUCCUCAAUUUCAAAGACCUCACUCGAGUGGGGGCUCUGUCCAAAAGAUGCAGACAAUUUCACCUAUCAGUUCCGGUGGUGGAUUUCGGUACAAAUCAGUGAGCAGAUGUAAAAAGAGUGGAUUUAGCGAGGCUGAUGAGUUCUUUUGAUAGAUACUUGCUUGAUCGUGGUCAUAACAGGAUGCAGCGAGUCUGCAUCGGCUUGAGUUCCUUUAAAUAUGAAACAGUGAAGAAAGUUUCUGAUGACUAUUCUCGAGUACUCAAGUGGAUUCAUAAUGCAGUAAGGUGUAAUGCUGAAGAGCUUGAUCUCUAUUUCUUAUACCGGGUUACUAGUAUGUUGUCAUUGCCAUCUUUCAUCUUCCAUUCUCAAUCUUUGCGCUCUUUAUCGGUGUCCUCGGGUACACGCACUUUGGAGAUCGUUGAAGCGCCGUCCCUAUCCUUUUCUAGUAAUCUCCGUUACUUAUCAUUGAGUGAUGUUAAAAUAGUAGACGAGAGGAUUUUCAAAUGGAUCUCAUGUUGCUGCAAAUAUCUCAAGGAAUUAAGUCUUAGUUCUAUCAAGGGUACACAAAAUAUCUCCAUUGAAAGUUCGUCUUUGGAAUCCUUUUCUUUUUUCAAUGAUGACGAUGACGAUGAUGAUGACAAUGACGACUGCCAUCUCAAUAUAUCUGGUGAGAAACUUGAAAAUAUAGAUAUGUACUGGGGUGGUUACAAAGUAUUUGAGAGCAGAAAAAGCACAAAUAGCAACACAUCAUUGAAGAUUUUUGCUCCAAAUCUUAAAACUUUGAAAUGGAAAGGAGAAGUGAGGAGUUGCCAAAGUCUGGGAAAUUUAAAGAGUUUGGAAUAAGUUGAGAUUUUAUUAGAGCCUCUGAAAAAUGAGUUUGACAAAGUAUUGGAGGUUCUUUGCAGUAUAUGCUCGGCACAAGUUCUUAUUAUAAACGACAAGACCAUUAAGGCUCUGUACAAGGAAGGUUCCACGCGAACACUAAUAUUGGAUAACAUUCGGAACUUGAGCAUACAUUGUGAGAGCUUGAAUAACAAGCUUGUUCCUGCUGUGGUCUCUCUUCUUAGGAGAAUGCCUAAUCUGAACAUUUUCUGCAUAAAGACUAGAUGUCACAGAUUGACUCCUAGAACAGCAAGUCGCUUUGGUAAUGAGUACUGGAAACUGCAAAACCUUGCUUUUAUUCACCAGCUUAAGGAGGUAAGCAUAGAGAACUCCUAUGGGUCUAAUGAAAUCGAGUUUGCAAGGUAUAUUCUCGAGCAUGCUCAAAAUUUGAAGAAAAUGGUCAUUGUUCAUCGUGAUCAAAAUGCUCCAUCAAAAGUGGCUGGGAUGAUGACUAGGAGCAAGAUGAUAUCCGCUGCUUCAGUUCUCAUUCGGCAGAACCCAAAGCACUUCUACACUAUCACUUAUUAUGGUCCUGGGAUCUCACAUUGCGAUUUUGAUAUCUCAGAUAGUGAUUCGAAGAGCUCAGAUAGAGAUUCUGACUUUCAGAGUUAAAUUCUUAAGCACGUAAAGGGAUUUCUGGGAUCUAAAGGGAAGAAUGUUUGAUAUUUAAAAAAGAAAAUAUUGUUUAUAGAGUUAAACCUAUUUGACAUGGCAUUGCUGCAAUAUUUCUUGGGUAAUAUCUUCCUUGCAAUUUGCUUAACC